rnacentral:rRNA from 1 species
UACGUAGGGUGCAAGCGUUGUCCGGAAUUAUUGGGCGUAAAGAGCUCGUAGGCGGUUUGUCGCGUCUGCUGUGAAAACUCGGGGCUUAACUCCGGGCCUGCAGUGGGUACGGGCAGACUAGAGUGCGGUAGGGGAGACUGGAAUUCCUGGUGUAGCGGUGAAAUGCGCAGAUAUCAGGAGGAAGGCCAGUGGCGAAGGCGGGUCUCUGGACAGUUACUGACGCUGAGGCACGAAGGCCAGGGGAGCAAACGGG